ensembl:lncRNA
GUCUGGGGAGGUGACUGGCCGGUUCCAGUACGUUCUGGAGCGGAUUGGAUAGGGAAGUUGAGGCGGUCGUUGGCCGCUAGUCUCGUGUCAGUCUCGUGGACUGCCGUUCUGACAGGUGCUAUAGCACACACUUUAUGCCAGCACAGCAACGAUGAUGACAAGUCGUUGAAAGGAGUGUGAAAGCAGGCUGAACAGCUCUUACAACUGCCACCAAAUGCCUAUGCAAACCUCCAGGAUUUUGGUCAGAUGUACAAUACAAGCUGCUGCAGGAAAGAUGCCACCUGUUUUCGGAAUGGAAUCUUCCACUAUUUAGCAAG